UAUUAAGAAUAAAUUUGUGUUGCAAAAUUAUUUUGAUAGUAAAUUUUCAAAGAUUAGAAAAUAUCUUUUUCGAAGCAAUCCUAGAUAGAAGAAAGAAUGUCUGCUAAGAGCCUAAAAUGCCGGCACGUUGCGUACAUAAUUUUAUCGAAUAAACUAUAUAAAAAAUAAACUGUAUAGAUGCGUCGGUUAUGCGAUCUUUGUACAGUUUAUUCGAUAAAAUCUUUUAUCAGCUCUUUUCGCUAUUUAUUAAUUGAACAUCUGAGAGAUCUUAUUUGAUCUUAUUUCUCUCUUCUUGUGUGAUUUUCUGAUAUAUGGACAAGAUGUAAUUGCGCGCGAGAAUAAGGAUACUUUUAAUGAAAAUUUUCCUGUAAAGAAUAUCCUUGAAUCGUGAUAUGCAAUGAAAUUAGUUGACGCAAUAAUUUGUGCAAUCGCCAAUCGAACGCCAGUAUCUCGUUUACUUUUUGCGAUUACAUUUAUGCACUCGCGACUUGCGCCUGUGCAGUUCCUUUUUAGGUUGCGCCUGGUUCUCGGGCGUGAAAUCAAGUACACAUGCCGCGGGCGCCCCGACUUUUUCGUAUGUAAAUUAGUCAGUCAUUACAAGCAAUCAUUUUGUUCGUCUGCCUGCGUUAAUUAGACAUUGAUAAUGAAGAAGUUUCCUCCCCUCUCUCUCUCUCUUUCUCUGCUCUUCAUCGAGAUUUUUCAAGAUCUCAAAUCUCUUCUUUCCAGAAGAAUUAUUACUGAUUGAUUAUCGAUAUGAUUUAAUCCAAUUUCUAAUUUCAAUAUUUUACGCGAUAUUUCCGCACAUGUUUUUUCACACUUUUGUAUUUUUUCUAAUGCAGAAUUUUGAACACUAUUAGUUCCAUUUUUUUUUUAAUUACUGAUGUAAUUUCCUUGAAUCAAAUUCCUAAAUUCAUACUUUACACAUCUAUUAAUAUCCAAGUCUACGAAUAUCUCUAUUUAUAUUUCUCAAAUGUAUGCAUCAGCAUGUUUUGGAACACACCGCAAUAGCAAUUGCAAAUAUUUGUCUCGCGGUAUAAUCGAGACAAGCCAAACCCUUCUUUCUCUCUUCUUCUUUCACUCGCGCACCCUCGCCGGUUCUCUUGACGUUAGUUUAAAAUUAAACACUCUCCCUUACUUUCCGCAAGCAAUAUACCUCACUAAGAGGCGUGGCACUAGUGUGAAAAUAAAAAGGUAAAAGGGAGAAAUGAAGAGGACACUUGUGCUGUUUUCCUCUUUGUUCUCCGACAGAUGCCACGGAAAUUUCAUUAUUCUCUCAGAAAUUGAAAAUAAACGCGUCGGACAUUGUUCGUCCAUCGCGAUACCUCAAUGAGACGUAUAUUAAAAUGAAUAGUCGGAUUUCAGAGAGGGCGUCAUUCCAAAUUCUUUACGUUCCAAGAAACACAUUCGAUGAAAUUAAUACAGUAAUUUAUAUAAUAUAAUUCUUCAUUGCCGUCUGAUUCUGUUGAAACGGCCGGAAACAUGGAAAAUUCAUUUAUAUACGAGAAAAUAUUGUAAAUAUUGAAACUCUGCUCGGUAUAAAUGAUCCGAGUGUCGGAGGUUUCUUCCGCGAGUUUCGAUUAAAAAGGAUACGCUCAUUCGUGAUGUUAAUCCGAAAUUGGACGUAUCGUUGAAUAUAACUCUCUUUAAAUAUCUGCACAGAUUUGAAGUGCAUUCGAAGCGAUGAAAUGCGUGGGAGAAAGCCCCGCGAGCUGGCAUGACUUUGCGUUGGUGGCAAAGAGACUUAAGACAAAAUUAAGAACGGGUUAAGCGAGCGCUCUUCGCGUAGGCUGCGCUUUUUUAGCGUCCCUUAACCAGUUUCCACGUGCAUUUUCCAGACCCCGGCCAGGUGGGCCGAUCUGUAGGUACUAUCAGCUGCAUUCUACAACUAUUCUAUCUUCCUACAAUUAUUUUUUACCUUCCUUUCUCUUCGCUCAAGCAUGCUCCGAUUUUCUUGCAGUCGGAAAUACUUUUUUUUACGUAUGUCAGUUUUGAUUCUUCGCGGCGAGCGGCGGUUAGUCGGCAUUUUUCAAAAGGAUUUGUAUGAAAUAAUUUCUCGAAAUAAUUUUCUCGAUAAAUAAACUUGGAGAAUUAAAAUACUUUGCGAUGCUCAAGAGCAUUAUAUCAAUAAGUAAUGUUUAUACAUUGCAAAUUUGAUAUUAAUUCGCGGGAUCAUUGUAUUUUAAUGAGUUAUUUGAAUUUGCAAAUCGAUGGAUUUAUUCAAAUUCGCACGAGUCAUUACCAUCGUUUAAAUUACUUUUCAUGUUACGUGAAUUAAUUAUAUUGAUUUUCUUCUUUCCAUAUAAUAUCGUGAAAAAAUAUUUGGGAAUAGUUUUGAAACAAAACGCAAAAAGUGUACGGAAGUAGUGCAGCUAGCAAGAAUGUCGUAAAUAAUAUAAAUUGCGUAAAUAUUCAACGAAUAAAUGUUUGAAAUAGUACAAUCAGGUUGAUUUCGAGAUUCACGAAUCCAGCGGAAACGCGCGAGCACAACUGCUGCGUAAAAUAUGAGAAGUGUAAAGGAAGAAAAUUGCAACUAGGAAGGGCGGACUCUCGGGGUCGUUAAAUACUCUCCGAAUAGAUGUAUCGAAUACGAUGAUCGAUUCGACGAUUUCCGAGGUCCAUCCAAUCGGAGCGGGGUGACUCGCCUCUGACCGUCGCGACGCGCGGUGCACAGGUGGGCGGCGGCGUGCGGGGGGAGCGAGAGGGGAAGGAAAAGAGAGGGUAGGAGGAGUCCUCCGGGGGACUCUGGACUAGAUCGAUAAUGCAUCUCUUGGCGGGCGUAGUUCCUCUUAGUCACCGGAGGGCGAUCACUCACGGCGACGAGGUAUUCAUCAUUUUACAGCCGUUUCGGCUGCGCGCAGAGCGAGAGGGAGAGAGGAGUGCUGUUGGUGCCGAUGCGACAAUCCGUGUGCCGAAUAUUAACGGCGUACGAUAUGUAAAGUGAUCCGGAGUAGAGUUGCGCGGAACAGUUGAUCUCUCGGCAACGUCCUCGCUUCUGGGCUGAUUUUCGGCGACUCCUCGUUCGAUAGUUCUCUCGAUAUUUCCGCCGCGACUUUCGGAACACUUUACAGAUUAUGAAUUUAUCGAAUUCUUGGCACCAAACUCUCUUCAAUCUAGAUGAAAGAAAUUUCCUUAAAAUACGGCAAGUUCCUUGAUGCGAUAUUAUUAAUGCUUGAUAUUUCUUGGCGGUGUCGAUACUUUCAUAAAAUAGGACACGCAAGAGCAUCUGUAAGAAUCUAAGAAAAUCAAUAAAUUAUUGAAGAACGCA